UUUUUUAGAGAGAGUGAAAGGGAUGGGAGGGGGGGGGAGAGAGAGAGAGAGACAUCGAUUGGUUGCCUUCACAUGUGCCCCAACUGGGACCAGGGAUUGAACCUACACCCCAGGUACAUGCCCUUGAUGGAAUCAAACCUGAGAUGCUUCCAUGCAUGGGCCAACUCUCUAACCACUGAGCCACUGACCAGGGCUUUGACUCUCUAACCACUGAGCAACCAGCCAGCACUACGAUGUGUAUUUUAAGCUAAGUGUUAUUACAAAAGAGUUGAAAGUUAAAAUAAUUAAAAGUUUAUAAAGUAAAAAAGUUAUGGGAGGCUAAGGUCAAUUUAUUAUUGAAGAAGAAAAUACUUUUUUUUUUUUUUUUUACAAAUUUAGUGUAUUUUUUUCUACAGUAUUUAUAAAGCCUAUAGUCGUAUACAGUAAUGUCCUAGGCCUUCACAUUCACUCACCACUUGCUCACUGACUCACCCAGAGCAACUUCCAGUCCUGCAAGCCCCUUUCAUGGUAAGUACUCUAUACAGGUGUACCAUUUUUAAUCUUUUAUAUUGUAUUUUUACUGUAGCUUUUCUAUGUUUAGAUAUGUCUAAAUACACAAAUACUAUUGUUAUACUUAUCUAUAAUAUUCAGUAUAAUAACAUGUUGUACAGAUUUACAGCCUGGGAGCAAUAGGCUAUACAUUACCCUGGGUGUGUAGUGGGCUGUACCAUCUAGGUUUCUGUAAGUGCACUCCGUGAUGUUCACACAAUAAUUAAAUUGCCUAACAAUGCAUUUCUCAGAAAGCAUCUCCAUCAUUAAGUGGUGCAUAAUUGUACUAAUGCAUAAAAAGUGCUCAGAAAUAGUCUGUUAAUAAGUCCCCAUAGAAUUAUCUUGUCUUGAUUUAAUUUUAUUUCCAAUUUUAAAUUACUUUUUAUGAACUGGAACCUCCCAAGCUCUUGCUCAGCCUCUUGAUGUGUUUCCAGUCUACAAGGAUGCUCUUAAUAUUUCCAAGUUCUUUGCAAACAAAAAAACCCAAAAGAGUGACUUUGUUUUCCAAACACAUAUUUACCUAUUUAACAGUUGUUAGCACAGUAUGCAACGUAAGUCUGAGAAUAAUGUGGCAGACUAAAAAUAAAGAAGGAAAGAUGUCAAACUGAACCAAUACACAGCAUGAACCUUCUUUUCAGGCUCACAUAGAGUAGCAACACAAUUUUUCUUAGUAUUCAAGGUCAUCUUGACCUCAUUUAAUCCUUAAGUGCUACACAAAAAACUGUCAAAGUCAGUCUAUCAGAAGUUUAGAGUUAUCAGGAGAGAUGAAAAACACAGUAUAAACAAAAUUACUUACUUUUAUAGGUUACACUCUGUAAUUACACAGCAAGAGAUGAGAAAUGUGUCCAUUGAUAUAAUUGCUAUCUUACAUGUAUUUUUAUUUUUUUCUAAGAAUUACAAA